ACCUCACCGAUAUUGUGGAGAU
rnacentral:siRNA from 1 species